rnacentral:rRNA from 1 species
UUUCCGUAGGUGAACCUGCGGAAGGUAUCAUUG